CCCUCGCUCUUGACCCUGCCAGUCUUUAAAACUCAGAUGAGCUGUCCUUAAUUCUUUUGUGUUUUCUUUGUCUAAUUUUUUGUGACUAUCAUCAGGCAACCUGGGACUUGAACAUCUCUUACCUAGAAUUGCAAAUUGGAUCACAUCUCCUUUAUCGGAAUCUUAUGUUUUUCACAAAAUGUUGUGUUGAAAGCUAGCUCCAUCCGAGCUGGAAAAGAUACAGACAUUGCAUCAUGGAAUUUAAGGCCUUAAAAUAUUACAUUUCAUGGGAUGCCCUUUUAUUUCUUCUAAAGCUCUUACUGAGCUUUUAGGACAGAUAUUUGCAGAGUAUGUCCUAUCCAUUUCUUCUUUUUCUUUUCUGAGGAGUACAACUUUUUAUCUGAAUGAGCCCUCCUUGGUGAAACUGAUGUUUCAAGUCAAGUUUCCACUACAGAGUAUCCUGGCAAUACAACCAGAUGAACGAUCAGUUUGCCCAUUAAUUUUGUUCUUUGUUUUGAAUAUGAAUACACUAGAGCAGUCAUGGGCUGGACGCAGUGGCUCACGACUAUAAUCCGAGCACUUUGGGAGGCCAAGGCUGGAGGAUCACUUGAGGUCAGGAGUUCAAAAUCAGCCUGGCCAACAUUGUGAAAUCCCAUCUCUACUAAAAACACAAAAAUUAUCUGGUGUGGUGGCGCAGGCCUGUAGUUCCAGCUACUCAGGAGGCUGAGAUGGGAGAAUUGCUUGAACCCAGGAGGCGGAGGUUGCAGUGAGCUGAGAUUACGCCGCUACACUCCAUCUUGGGCAAUGGAGCUAGAUUCCAUCUCAAAAAAAGCAGUUAUGGCUACUUUAAAACAUAAAUGUACUAAUUAUAAUUUGUUCAGUUAUUCUACUGGAGUUUUGGGAUUCCCCACUCUCCGUUAGUCAACUAGUGGAAUAAUAGCAAUAGGAAUAGCUAACAUUUAUUGACUGUUAUACUCAUUAGCCAGGCACAUAAGUGCCAAGUACUUUACAUGGAUUAUUUCUUUUCUCACAUUGUGAAGUAGAUAUACAGUCAUGUACUACAUAACAUUUCCAUCAAUGAUGGACUGCAUAUAUGAUGAUCCCAUAUGUUUAGAUACACAGAUAUUUACCAUUGUGUUACAGCUGCUUACAGUAUUAGGUACAGUAACGUUGUACACUAGGAGCAAUAAGCUAUACCUUGUAGCCUAGGAGUGUAGUAGGCUAUACUAUCUAGGUUUGUGUAAGUACAAAACUAGUAAUUUACAUACAGAAUUUUGGGAAGAAAUCUGUGAUAGUCACAUAAUGAUGAAGUCACCUAAUGACAGAUUCUCAGAAUUGAUUCCCAUUGUUAAGCAACGCAUGACUGUAUGUAUUAUCCAUAUCUUUCAGUCGAGGAAACCAAAGCUUAGAGAAGUUAAGGAAGUUAUCAGAGAAAACACAGCUAGUGAGUAGUCCAGGCAAUGUGGCUCGAGUUGGUGUGCUUAACCAUUAAGCUGUAGUGCCUCCUUUACCAAUGCUGACCAUUAAUCUCCUAAGAAAUGUUGUAGGUCAGUUAUCCUUAAUUUCAUUAUUAGAUGGACUCAAAUUUUAGUUCAAGUUACUGGAUUCUCAAGCUUUUAAUGAUAAAAGGAAAAAUCCUGGGUUCCAUGAGUAUCCUAAAGGCUUCAAGAAAUUGGUGGCCAAAACUUGUUUUAAAAUGGCCAAGGGAACUAGGAUAUUCAGCCUAGGAAAAAGAAUUCGAAUGGAAGGUCUGACUGGCAGAAGAAUUAGGUAUGCUCUGUGUGCAGCUGAAAGACAGAACUUGGGCCAGCAGGUAAAAUUUGUGGGGAAGUAGAUGUUGGCUUACUUCUAGGGAACAGUUGUCAAUAUCUACAAUACCGGGACAUGAAUAGAAUUGCUUUCAGUUAAGAUAUGUUAGUUUCCUUGCAUCAGCCAGUAGUGAACAAUUAUAACUAGACAACCUUGCCUACAGUAUUAUAAAGGUUUAUGCUGUGUGUUAUGAGAUCUAGAGUGUGUAACAUAAAAGCUGUCUUCUAACUUUGAUUAGCUCUGUUUGGCUUCUUUGAAGCCUGUUGGCGUAGAUUCUCCACUGAAGGGAUUGAGGAUCUUGAACUUUAAAAGUAAUACAGGUACACAGAAAUUUUCCGACGUCAAGAAUUUGAG
rnacentral:lncRNA from 1 species